rnacentral:rRNA from 1 species
GGAAUCUUAGACAAUGGGCGCAAGCCUGAUCUAGCCAUGCCGCGUGAGCGAUGAAGGCCUUAGGGUUGUAAAGCUCUUUCACCGGGGAAGAUAAUGACGGUACCCGCAGAAGAAGCCCCGGCUAACUCCGUGCCAGCAGCCGCGGUAAUACGGAGGGGGCUCGCGUUGUUCGGAAUUACUGGGCGUAAAGGGCGCGCAGGCGGCUGCUCAAGUCAGGCGUGAAAGGCCUGGGCUCAACCCGGGAAUUGCGCUUGAGACUGAGCUGGCUUGAGUGCGGGAGAGGAUGGUGGAAUUCCCAGUGUAGAGGUGAAAUUCGUAGAUAUUGGGAAGAACACCGGUGGCGAAGGCGGCCAUCUGGACCGUAACUGACGCUGAGGCGCGAAAGCGUGGGGAGCAAAC